rnacentral:rRNA from 1 species
GAUGAACGCUAGCGGCAGGCCUAACACAUGCAAGUCGAGGGGUAGAGUUCUUCGGGACUUGAGACCGGCGCACGGGUGCGUAACGCGUAUGCAAUCUACCUUAUACAGGGGAAUAGCCCCAGAGAAAUUUGGAUUAAUGCCCCAUAGUGUUAUCGAAUCGCAUGGUUUGAUAACUAAAGUUCCAACGGUAUAAGAUGAGCAUGCGUCCCAUUAGUUAGUUGGUAAGGUAACGGCUUACCAAGACAAUGAUGGGUAGGGGUCCUGAGAGGGAGAUCCCCCACACUGGUACUGAGACACGGACCAGACUCCUACGGGAGGCAGCAGUGAGGAAUAUUGGUCAAUGGGCGCAAGCCUGAACCAGCCAUGCCGCGUGCAGGAAGACGGUCCUAUGGAUUGUAAACUGCUUUUAUACAGGAAAAACCCUCCACGUGUGGGAGCUUGACGGUACUGUAGGAAUAAGGAUCGGCUAACUCCGUG